rnacentral:rRNA from 1 species
UACGAAGGGGGCUAGCGUUGUUCGGAAUCACUGGGCGUAAAGGGCGCGUAGGCGGCCGAUCAAGUCGGGGGUGAAAGCCUGUGGCUCAACCACAGAAUUGCCUUCGAUACUGUUUGGCUUGAGACCGGAAGAGGUUAGUGGAACUGCGAGUGUAGAGGUGAAAUUCGUAGAUAUUCGCAAGAACAGCAGUGGCGAAGGCGGCUGACUGGUCCGGUUCUGACGCUGAGGCGCGAAAGCGUGGGGAGCAAACAGG